rnacentral:rRNA from 1 species
GAGGAAUAUUGGUCAAUGGGCGAGAGCCUGAACCAGCCAAGUAGCGUGAAGGAUGACUGCCCUAUGGGUUGUAAACUUCUUUUAUAAGGGAAUAAAGU